GACGAACGCUGGCGGCGUGCUUAACACAUGCAAGUCGAACGGAAAGGCCCUGCUUUUGUGGGGUGCUCGAGUGGCGAACGGGUGAGUAACACGUGAGUAACCUGCCCUUGACUUUGGGAUAACUUCAGGAAACUGGGGCUAAUACCGGAUAGGAGCUCCUGCUGCAUGGUGGGGGUUGGAAAGUUUCGGCGGGUGGGGAUGGACUCGCGGCUUAUCGGCUUGUUGGUGGGGUAGUGGCUUACCAAGGAUUUGACGGGUAGCCGGCCUGAGAGGGUGAACGGCCACAUUGGGACUGAGAUACGGCCCAGACUCCUACGGGAGGCAGCAGUGGGGAAUAUUGCACAAUGGGCGGAAGCCUGAUGCAGCAACGCCGCGUGCGGGAUGACGGCCUUCGGGUUGUAAACCGCUUUCGCCUGUGACGAAGCGUGAGUGACGGUAAUGGGUAAAGAAGCACCGGCUAACUACGUG
rnacentral:rRNA from 1 species